rnacentral:lncRNA from 1 species
CUACUUUUGAUUCCAAAGUGAAACGAGCCGAGGUUUGCCUGCCGCACCCAGAACUUUGCCCAAACCCUCUUCUGCACUUUCCCCAGGGCUGCCCCCGGCGAGCCCAGCCCCCGGCUGAGCACUCGGACACUGAUCCCCGGUGCAGAGCUGGGGGAGCACUCAAGGGCUACCAGGUGGUUGGGUGUGGAGUUUUGGCAGCAAGGAGUAAUUAACAUGGAGACAAAAGACUAAAAGUUUUCGUGCAGGAUCUUCAUACACAUCCAAGGUCAGAAGGGGCAGCUGUGAGGAGAUACCCCACGUCCAAGGUAAGGAGCAGCAGCUGUGCUUUGCUGGA